UAUGCACACGACUGUAAGUUGCUUUGAGUAAAAGCACCUGCUAAAUGACAUAUU
rfam:Salmo salar isolate Sally breed double haploid chromosome ssa21, whole genome shotgun sequence.